GGGACGGUAGCUCAGUCGGUAGAGCACGGGCCUUUUAAGCCUGGUGUCGCGGGUUCGAACCCCGCCCGUCUCACCA
rnacentral:tRNA from 1 species